UCUAGAAAGUAUCACUAAAGCAGUGCUUAUCUUCGUGUGUGCCAACAGAGAAUAACAUUGGUGUAGUUAAAAAGAGCAUUCUUCAUUUCCCCACAGGUCACUCAAGGACACUCAGGUUGGGAGGACUUUUGUCACGAGGGAAGGUUGAUGAAGAGAAAUGUCUCUGAGAAUGUACAGGAAGGAUUAACUGCCCUAUUUGUUCUCACUGAUGGACCUGAACAAAAUGCCCAGCAGGAUUCACUGGCUUUCAUAAAAAAUGAAAACGCUGCUGUCAGAGCUUUCAAAGAAGCAAUACAGAAUGUUAUUGAAGUCAAGUCCUUAAAGAAAGCUUUGGAAGAAAAUUAUUCUAAGGACAAGUAACGUUAUAAUUAUGAGACAAGUAAAUGAUGGUGUGAAGUAAUGAUCUGAAGUGAGCAAACAUGAAAAGAAGCCAAAAUAUUGACAAACCAAUAAAUCAUUUAAAAGAAAAAAAAAACAGCCAAGAUGGAACUUGGGCCCAAAUGAGUGCCCAUUUCAAAUUUUCCAUCACUGCCUUCUCAAAAAGACUUUGUAGUUCCCCCUGAACUCUAGAAGAUACCAGCUGACCUCAACAUAAAAACAUUAAAUGAAAAAAGAAAAAAAAAA